rnacentral:rRNA from 1 species
GUCCACGCUGUAAACGAUGAUUACUAGAUGUUAGGUCCGCUUUAGGGCUUAGUAUCGCAGCUAACGCAUUAAGUAAUCCGCCUGGGAAGUACGGUCGCAAGAUUAAAACUUAAAGGAAUUGACGGGGGUCCGCACAAGCGGUGGAACAUGUGGUUUAAUUCGACACUACGCGAGAAACCUUACCUAGGCUUGACAUGCAUAUGACAGUUGUAGAAAUACAAUCUUCUAAGCUUCGGUUUAGACAUUUGCACAGGUGCUGCAUGGCUGUCGU